CGCGGCCUAUCAGCUUGUUGGUGAGGUAAUGGCUCACCAAGGCUUCGACGGGUAGCCGGCCUGAGAGGGCGACCGGCCACACUGGGACUGAGAUACGGCCCAGACUCCUACGGGAGGCAGCAGUGGGGAAUAUUGCACAAUGGGCGCAAGCCUGAUGCAGCAACGCCGCGUGCGGGAUGACGGCCUUCGGGUUGUAAACCGCUUUCAGUAGGGACGAAGGGUGACUGACGGUACCUACAGAAGAAGGACCGGCUAACUACGUGCCAGCAGCCGCGGUGAUACGUAGGGUCCGAGCGUUGUCCGGAAUUAUUGGGCGUAAAGGGCUUGUAGGCGGUCCGUCGCGUCAGAAGUGAAAACUCAGGGCUUAACCCUGAGCCUGCUUUUGAUACGGGCGGACUAGAGGGAUGCAGGGGAGAACGGAAUUCCUGGUGGAGCGGUGGAAUGCGCAGAUAUCAGGAGGAACACCGGUGGCGAAGGCGGUUCUCUGGGCAUUACCUGACGCUGAGAAGCGAAAGCGUGGGGAGCAAACAGGCUUAGAUACCCUGGUAGUCCACGCCGUAAACGGUGGGCACUAGGUGUGGGGGACAUUCCACGUUCUCCGUGCCGCAGCUAACGCAUUAAGUGCCCCGCCUGGGGAGUACGG
rnacentral:rRNA from 1 species